GUGGGGAAUCUUGCGCAAUGGGCGAAAGCCUGACGCAGCCAUGCCGCGUGGAUGAUGAAGGUCUUAGGAUUGUAAAAUCCUUUCACCGGUGAAGAUAAUGACUGUAGCCGGAGAAGAAGCCCCGGCUAACUUCGUGCCAGCAGCCGCGGUAAUACGAAGGGGGCUAGCGUUGCUCGGAUUUACUGGGCGUAAAGGGCGCGUAGGCGGACAUUUAAGUCAGGGGUGAAAUCCCGGGGCUCAACCUCGGAACUGCCUUUGAUACUGGAUGUCUUGAGUGUGAGAGAGGUGUGUGGAACUCCGAGUGUAGAGGUGAAAUUCGUAGAUAUUCGGAAGAACACCAGUGGCGAAGGCGACACACUGGCUCAUUACUGACGCUGAGGCGCGAAAGCGUGGGGAGCAAACAGGAUUAGAAACCCCGGUAGUCC
rnacentral:rRNA from 1 species